rnacentral:rRNA from 1 species
CCUACGGGAGGCAGCAGUGGGGAAUCUUGCGCAAUGGGCGAAAGCCUGACGCAGCCAUGCCGCGUGAAUGAUGAAGGUCUUAGGAUUGUAAAAUUCUUUCACCGGGGACGAUAACGACGGUACCCGGAGAAGAAGCCCCGGCUAACUUCGUGCCAGCAGCCGCGGUAAUACGAAGGGGGCUAGCGUUGCUCGGAAUUACUGGGCGUAAAGGGAGCGUAGGCGGAUAGUUUAGUCAGAGGUGAAAGCCCAGGGCUCAACCUUGGAAUUGCCUUUGAUACUGGCUAUCUUGAGUGUGGGAGAGGUAUGUGGAACUCCGAGUGUAGAGGUGAAAUUCGUAGAUAUUCGGAAGAACACCAGUGGCGAAGGCGACAUACUGGCCCAUUACUGACGCUGAGGCUCGAAAGCGUGGGGAGCAAACAGGAUUAGAUACCCUGGUAGUCCACGCUGUAAACGAUGAGUGCUAGUUGUCGGCAUGCAUGCAUGUCGGUGACGCAACUAACGCAUUAAGCACUCCGCCUGGGGAGUACGGUCGCAAGAUUAAAACUCAAAUGAAUUGACGG